rnacentral:rRNA from 1 species
CAGGCUGAAGACUUACCCCGAUUAGCUGAGAGGUGGUGCAUGGCCGUCGUCAGUUCGUACUGUGAAGCAUCCUGUUAAGUCAGGCAACGAGCGAGACCCACGUCCACAGUUGCCAGCAUACCCUCCGGGGUGAUGGGUACACUGUGGAGACCGCCGCUGCUAAAGCGGAGGAAGGAGUGGGCAACGGUAGGUCAGUAUGCCCCGAAUCUCCCGGGCUACACGCGGGCUACAAUGGUUGGUACAAUGGGCAUCUACCCCGAAAGGGGAAGGAAAUCUCUUAAAGCCAAUCGUAGUUCGGAUUGAGGGCUGCAACUCGCCCUCAUGAAGCUGGAAUCCGUAGUAAUCGCGUUUCAACAGAACGCGGUGAAUACGUCCCUGCUCCUU